GACACAUCCUUCUCAACUUUAACACAAUUAAGAGUCUAACUAAUCAGGCUGAGGCAUUUUUUACUCACAUAGAUGCAAAUCAUGUCUGAUCAUCCAUAUGCGACGUAGUUGUUUUUUUAAAACAUUUUGUUUUGAUUUUCUCCCAAAAGACUAAAAAGCAACAAAAAACUUCAACAGCACUUUCUUUGUCUUUGCACGAUGCCUAAAGGAUGAUUUAGAGGCCAUUUUAUUUAACAUUUAGUAACUUUUAAAAUUUAGUAAAUUUAUGAAGCUAACGAGAAUCCCUGAAAUUAUACCUAUUUAUGAUUUUUUUUGUUUUGUUCAAGGUAAUUAAAUCUAAAGUAGCCUAUUUGAAUAACUGUCUAAUCUGUGAAAGGAUAGAAUUGGUUUUAAAGCAUUAUCUUUAUUUGUUUAUAUAUAAAGCAGCAUUUUGCUUUCUCAAAAUUAUUUGCACAUUUUGCCCUUUAAAUAUUGCCCUUAUGUCAUUUUCCUUAAAAGAAUAUUCUGUGUUCAAUACCAGUUAAGCUCAUCAACACCUCGAUCGACAGCAUUUGUGGCAUAAUGUUGAAAAGAUUAUUGUUGAAAAUGUUUUUUGAGAAAACAAACAAUUAUUCCGACUUAAAAAAAAAAAGAGGUUACAGUGAGACACUUACAAUGGAAGUGAAUGGGGUCAAUGUUUGGAGGGUUUUAAGACAAAAAUGUGAAGCUUAUAACUUUAUAAAAGCGCUUAAUUCUUCUGUUUAAACACAUUUCUUGUUUGAGCUGUAAAGUUGUUUCAAUGUAUUUUUUACAGUCAUUUAAUGGUUUGUUGACAUGACAUCAUCAAUGCAACGAAGUUGUAAAAUUGAAUAUAACUUCACACAGAAAAGGAUAGUUUGUGAUUUUAUCACACUAAAGUCUUGUGGCUAUACUUUUAUAACUGAGUAUUUUAAUGUUUAUAGAUGGGCCCAUUGACUUCCAUUGUAAGUGCCUCACUGGAACUUCAAUUUUUGCUAUUUUUAAAGGAAGGGAGGAACGAGUCGAAAUAAAUGUAAGGAAUAUUACUUUAAGGGGUGCCUUUAGCCCCAUUGAACUGCUUAAAAAAUAAUAGGCUAGUUGCCAUAUAGGUAGGCUACUUCAGUCUACCACAUACAAACGUUCAGAAUUUUUGCAAUUUGCAAAGAGGAUGCACAUCAUCAAACCCGUUAACUGCGCUUAACCCAUUUCCAAGUGACUAUCUUUCUAGAGGGGAGGAUAGUGGACAGCAGCUGGCGGGGGAGGGGGUCUCUGGUCCAGCGGAACAGCCGUUGUCGCUCCUCUAAUCACCUCCGAGGGUCACAGAGCAUCCUCCGCAUCAUUCGGGCCCGCUGCUCUGCCUUGCAGAGACGCAAACAUGCUGGACGUCUUGCUAUUGAUGUUCUUUGCCAUCAUGGGGCUUGUGUUCCUCUCUUACAUCAUCUACAUGCUUUAAACACGGCAGGAUCAAUGGACCGCCGUGAGAGCGUGAUUCACGUCCUCGAGAGGGAUCUGAGGGAUCACAAAGGUUGGCGAUAUGAUGAUAUUGACGUCUUCGACCUUCGCAUCUUACUGUUCUUUCAGCAUCUCCAGACAUCUGCGUGUUCCGGUUACCGGAGGAAGCUUUGUUUGUAGCACCAAGCCUCGGGACUCUGAGAUGAUGAACAGCUCUGAUGUCAAAUAACAGGAAGACGCAGGACACAUUUACAAGAUGAAACAUCACCCCUCCUUCUCCUCAUCCCUCUUUCAAUCUGUUCUUAUAACCUUUGAUAAUAUGUAUCUUCAUGCAAAAGAAAUAUCAUAGCACUUAACACAACAUAACAACCCCUCAUUUUUUCUCUUUUUACUUAAGACAGUUUUCUUUUUAUAGAAGAUACUAUUAGCAUAUAGAUGACACUAAUAAAGGUUCUGUAAGCAAUGUUAGCCAUUCUGGAACUUCCACAAGACUGAGCCGUUAAAGUUGACAUGCCCCCUUCCAAAACACAGUUCAUCUUCUCACGGUUAUCAAACACAACUGUAGCAAAAUAGCACCCUUAUCUGACAACUGUUAUGAAUCUGAAUGUGACAUUAAACUGGAAAUUCUCAUACUUGUUCUCAUACUACACAAUGAGAACGUGCAAAAUGAUUGACAGGCACAUCAAAGUCUUCUGAUUGGCUGAUCAAAGAAUGGGUCUGUUUACACAGCAAAACAGUCCAGUGCUGUCUCAGAGACCGUGAGAAAUCUCAGGACACUUAUUUCAAUGAUAUCUUUAAUGGAUGAGGAACAAUUUCUUCAUACCAUUCCAGUGAAAAUCACUUAUAGCCCCUUUAAUACAAUAUUUUAACGUUAUAUAUCCCAAAGAUGUCUGAAACACUCCCUAAACUAUUAUACUUUGGUUAACAAUCGAUGCUGUUUGACUAUAAAUAAAACAGUAUGCACUAUUUGUCUGUCUAUAGCCUAUUUAAUUUUGAAUUCCUUCAAAUAAUUGUUUGAAUAAUAUAGUAUUACUGACACUAGUUUUAAAUGGAUGUAUUGUAAGUCUAUGGAUACUUGCAAAUAACUGAAUCUGAUUUUCAGAAUAAAGAGUAUUUGUAAUGAUGAAACUGUCUCAACCAUAUGGAUAGGGGGUAUAGCUCAGUGGUAGAGCAUUUGACUGCAGAUCAAGAGGUCCCCGGUUCAAAUCCGGAUGCCCCCUACAGGGUUUUUGCUGAAAAUACACCAAUUCAACAGGAAAGAAUAGAUAUGUCGAGACCAUGAAAAAUGAAGACGCAUUUAAACG